GGCGGACGCUGGAGGCGGCCACGGACGUUGGCUGCUGACAGAGGAAAAAAGAGCGUUUUACUUUUUAUUCUCCUUAGUAACUUGAUCUCCAAGGCUUUUCAAUAAUACUGAUUACUGAAAUCUCUUGCCAUCUUACAAAAGGACAAGAUUCAGCAAUUAAAAAAUGUCUCCAGAGAAGUUACUUAAUUCUGCAGGAAGAGCUCUGGGCACAUGAAAAGGGAGGCAAAGCUUGGAAGAGAAUCCACUGUACCUGCUGUGCAAAAACAAGCUGUCUCUGCACUUCAAGGAAUACACAAGGCUGCAUCUGAAAAAGCAAGCCACUUGAAUAUGGAGAAAACAAUCAAAAUAACCAAAGAUUAUUUACCACUGCAAAGGCAGGACUGUACCAAUUUUAGAGACUGUAUUGCAUAUUCACAGCUUUAUCAAAUGAAGUCAAACUGUCAGAGGUUAGUAUGCAAAUCCUUGGGAGCACGUUUGGGUUGCACUUGUAUUUUGUACUAUAAAACCACCUACAGACCAAGCCUCCAGGUACCAGCAGCACAGGCUCUGAACUAGAGCCCACUUUUGACAAGUAAGUUCCAUACAUUUUUCAUGAUCAUUCGUGUCAAUAAACUUGGCCACUAUCAACCAAAAAUAAGAAAAUACCCCAAUCACAUUCGAACAAACACUAACACAAAAGCCAAGUUUUUCCACAAUACAGAUUGUGAAACCUCUUUACAUCU